GGCGUGCUUAACACAUGCAAGUCGAACGAUGAAACCUAGCUUGCUAGGUGGAUUAGUGGCGCACGGGUGAGUAAUAUAUAGAUAACGUGCCUCUUAGUCUGGGAUAGCCAUUGGAAACGAUGAUUAAUACUGGAUACUCCUUCUCUUUAUAAUAAGAGUUGGGAAAGUUUUUCGCUAAGAGAUCGGUCUAUAUCCCAUCAGCUUGUUGGUAGUGUAAGAGACUACCAAGGCAAUGACGGGUAGCGGGUUUGAGAGGAUGAUCCGCCACACUGGUACUGAGACACGGACCAGACUCCUACGGGAGGCAGCAGUGAGGAAUAUUGCACAAUGGAGGAAACUCUGAUGCAGCAACGCCGCGUGGAGGAUGACGCAUUUCGGUGUGUAAACUCCUUUUAUAGGUCAAGAAAAUGACGGUAGCCUAUGAAUAAGCACCGGCUAACUCCGUGCCAGCAGCCGCGGUAAUACGGAGGGUGCAAGCGUUAUUCGGAAUCACUGGGCGUAAAGGACACGUAGGCGGGAAGCCAAGUCUGAUGUGAAAUCCUACAGCUUAACUGUAGAACUGCAUUGGAAACUGGUUACCUAGAGUAUGGGAGGGGGAGAUGGAAUUAGUGGUGUAGGGGUAAAAUCCGUAGAUAUCACUAGGAAUACCUAAAGCGAAGGCGAUCUCCUGGAACAUUACUGACGCUAAGGUGUGAAAGCGUGGGGAGCAAACGGGAUUAGAUACCCCGGUAGUCCACGCCCUAAACGAUGUUCACUAGUCGUCGGGAUGCUAGUCAUCUCGGUGAUGCACUUAACAGAUUAAGUGAACCGCCUGGGGAGUACGGUCG
rnacentral:rRNA from 1 species